rnacentral:lncRNA from 1 species
AGCAAUUUUGAGCUCUGACAUAAAAGCCAGCCAAAAAAAGGAUUGGGCUCUUUUGUAUGCAUUUUCUCUCCCGUAAUUCUAUAAAACAGGACAUAUUUGCCUUAUAAAGCCCAAUCAUGAAUUUUUGAACAUUUAACAAAGGACCAUGAGAUAUUUCUCUGAUGAAAACAUGCAUUUUGACAUUCUUCAGAGUAAGUUUUGUGUGUAGCU